AUUGAACGCUGGCGGCAUGCCUUACACAUGCAAGUCGAACGGUAACAGGUCUUCGGAUGCUGACGAGUGGCGAACGGGCGAGUAAUACAUCGGAACGUGCCUAAUAGUGGGGGAUAACUACUCGAAAGAGUGGCUAAUACCGCAUGAGAUCUACGGAUGAAAGCAGGGGAUCGCAAGACCUUGUGCUACUAGAGCGGCCGAUGGCAGAUUAGGUAGUUGGUGGGAUAAAAGCUUACCAAGCCGACGAUCUGUAGCUGGUCUGAGAGGACGAUCAGCCACACUGGGACUGAGACACGGCCCAGACUCCUACGGGAGGCAGCAGUGGGGAAUUUUGGACAAUGGGCGCAAGCCUGAUCCAGCAAUGCCGCGUGCAGGAUGAAGGCCUUCGGGUUGUAAACUGCUUUUGUACGGAACGAAAAGCCCCGGGUUAAUACCCUGGGGUCAUGACGGUACCGUAAGAAUAAGCACCGGCUAACUACGUGCCAGCCGCCGCGGUAA
rnacentral:rRNA from 1 species